UACGAAGGGGGCUAGCGUUGCUCGGAAUCACUGGGCGUAAAGCGCACGUAGGCGGAUCUUUUAAGUCAGGGGUGAAAUCCUGGAGCUCAACUCCAGAACUGCCUUUGAUACUGGAGAUCUCGAGUCCGGAAGAGGUGAGUGGAACUCCGAGUGUAGAGGUGAAAUUCGUAGAUAUUCGGAAGAACACCAGUGGCGAAGGCGGCUCACUGGUCCGGUACUGACGCUGAGGUGCGAAAGCGUGGGGAGCAAACAGG
rnacentral:rRNA from 1 species